AUAUUUACCUGGAAAGGGAGAGGAGAGACACUGUGAACGGUGUUUUCCCAGGGAAAGGCUUAAUUAUUGCAUUCCAGAUGUGCUGACCUCUGCCAUUUUCCCCAAUGAGGAAAAAUCAAUUAUGUUCUGUGUAGUGGACUGCUGUGUUUACUCUCUUUAC
rnacentral:snRNA from 1 species